AUGAAUCAUGUUCACAAGUCAUACUUGUGUCUGUCCAUGGUUCUUUUCACUACAGCCACCAUAGUUCAGGGUGAGAUUUUUCACACCGACUGUAAAGAUUUAUCUGUGGAAAAUGGUAAUGAGCUUGCCUGGUUGAUGUCCUGUUGUUUUCCCAAGUACAUACUUGGAAGAGAGUGAACAGAAGACUAAAACGUGGGUCAACAGAUGUUUUGCAGUGAGCUAAAAAAUAAUUGACUUCACUAGAACAACUGCUUGAUAUUCUACAGCAGUUUUGCAGGUUUCUGAAGUGGAAGAAGCAGAUAGUGAUGGAAUGCUGCUAAAAGAAAUAUAAGAGAAUAAUAACACCCUUGGUGCUUGUUAAUUUCAUUUUGAAUUUUUUUUUUUUAAGUUGUCAGUUACAUGUUUGGUGACUGCUUUGAAAGUUCUGAUUCUGUUGCAUGUGGAUCCACAAGGUAGCUUAGGAAGCCUGAUGGCAGAAUACAAAUUGUCUUAAAAGAGUUCAUAGGUAUUCACAAUCUUUGUAUUGAAGAAAGUAUGAUGAAACUCCCCAGGUCCAGUUAGGGCAGCACUGGGAAUGCAAGGUGAGAAAUUGGAAGAAUUUACCACACACAAA
rnacentral:lncRNA from 1 species